UACGGAGGUGGCAAGCGUUGUUCGGAAUUACUGGGUGUAAAGGGUAUGUAGGCGGUGGAGGAAGUUGAAUGUGAAAUCCUUUGGCUCAACCAAAGAACUGCAUUCAAAACUGCUCUACUUGAGUUCGGGAGAGGAGAGCGGAAUUCCCGGUGUAAGAGUGAAAUCUGUAGAGAUCGGGAGGAACACCAGUGGCGAAAGCGGCUCUCUGGACCGAUACUGACGCUGAAAUACGAAAGCUAGGGGAGCAAACAGG
rnacentral:rRNA from 1 species